UGCCCUAGUAACGGCGAGUGAAGCGGCAACAGCUCAAAUUUGAAAUCUGGCUCUCGGGCCCGAGUUGUAAUUUGUAGAGGAUACUUUUGAUGCGGUGCCUUCCGAGUUCCCUGGAACGGGACGCCAUAGAGGGUGAGAGCCCCGUCUGGUUGGAUGCCAAAUCUCUGUAAAGUUCCUUCAACGAGUCGAGUAGUUUGGGAAUGCUGCUCUAAAUGGGAGGUAUAUGUCUUCUAAAGCUAAAUACCGGCCAGAGACCGAUAGCGCACAAGUAGAGUGAUCGAAAGAUGAAAAGCACUUUGAAAAGAGAGUUAAAAAGUACGUGAAAUUGUUGAAAGGGAAGCGUUUAUGACCAGACUUGGGCUUGGUUAAUCAUCUGGGGUUCUCCCCAGUGCACUUUUCCAGUCCAGGCCAGCAUCAGUUUUCCCCGGGGGAUAAAGGCGGCGGGAAUGUGGCUCUCUUCGGGGAGUGUUAUAGCCCACCGUGUAAUACCCUGGGGGGGACUGAGGUUCGCGCAUCUGCAAGGAUGCUGGCGUAAUGGUCAUCAACGACCCGUCUUGAAACACGGACCAAGGAGUCGUCUUCGUAUGCGAGUGUUCGGGUGUCAAACCCCUACGCGUAAUGAAAGUGAACGCAGGUGAGAGCUUCGGCGCAUCAUCGACCGAUCCUGAUGUUCUCGGAUGGAUUUGAGUAAGAGCAUACGGGGCCGGACCCGAAAGAAGGUGAACUAUGCCUGUAUAGGGUGAAGCCAGAGGAAACUCUGGUGGAGGCUCGCAGCGGUUCUGACGUGCAAAUCGAUCGUCAAAUAUGGGCAUGGGGGCGAAAGACUAAUCGAACCUUCUAGUAGCUGGUUUCCGCCGAAGUUUCCCUCAGGAUAGCAGUGUUGAACUCAGUUUUAUGAGGUAAAGCGAAUGAUUAGGGACUCGGGGGCGCUAUUUAGCCUUCAUCCAUUCUCAAACUUUAAAUAUGUAAGAAGCUCUUGUUGCUUAAUUGAACGUGAGCAUUCGAAUGUAUCAACACUAGUGGGCCAUUUUUGGUAAGCAGAACUGGCGAUGCGGGAUGAACCGAACGCGAGGUUAAGGUGCCAGAGUAGACGCUCAUCAGACACCACAAAAGGUGUUAGUACAUCUUGACAGCAGGACGGUGGCCAUGGAAGUCGGAAUCCGCUAAGGACUGUGUAACAACUCACCUGCCGAAUGUACUAGCCCUGAAAAUGGAUGGCGCUCAGCGUCUCACCCAUACCUCGCCCUCAGGGUAGAAACGAUGCCCUGAGGAGUAGGCGGACGUGGAGGUCAGUGACGA
rnacentral:rRNA from 1 species